AUGUCAGUAAAUUAACAUAAAAUCGUGACAAUCUCUAAUGCACUUUCAUUCGAGGAGUGACGUGUAAUUUUCUUUCUCUUUUUCUACCAUCCUUCAACAAGCACGAGUACCCUUAUUUAAUAACAAACCUUUCUUUAAAUAUCCACACGUUGACCAAGGUAAAGUUAAAAUCUUACAGCAAAACAGUUGCCAUGUCCAUGAAGAAUUAGCCCGGCAGGUCGCCUAUCAACUGAAUUUCAUGUUCUCUGGCACAAGUUCAAGAUUCUGACUCAUCCAUACGUAAGAGCAAGUACUACAGUUAAAUAUGUAUCUUUGUCGUCUCUUAGCACUAGUCUUAAGGUAGAGAUUGAAGUUUGAUGAGUUACGAAGAAGAAACCUAUGUGAAUAAAUAGAUUGAUAGAUGGAUAAGUUGAUAUACAUUUCUGCCACGGAUCGUCCGCCAUUGCUAGACUUGGAAACUCGUCUGCCAUUGGGUAUAGAAAGAAUAGAGCAUCAACUAAAUGAAAUUUCAAAGACGAAACUGUUGAUGUUUGAUAAUGAAGAUGGCGACGGAAUAGCAUUGGUAUUUCUACGUUAUUAAAGAAAACUCACAUGUAUCUCAUGGACGAGUGAGAUCAUCCUGGUUACGUGAAUUUAUCCAUUUACGGUUUGAAGGAAAACUGGUUUAAGAAAAUAAUAAAUACACACCAUAGAUAUAUAUAUAUAUAUAGGAAGAAAAGGAAUUAUCCAAUGGCGUCUUCUCGUACGCCAGUACAGGUAAUUAAGACUGUUGUACCAGAACUAAUCGGAUUGAAUUUAUGUAAUCGAAAUACCGUUACCUGUACAAUGUAAUAAAAUUCUGGACACCAUCAGUCGAUAAGACUCUGUGAUAAGAUGUUAAUGCAGUCGGCGCUCGUUAGCAUGUGGACGUUAAAAUAUUUCCAAGAAACUAAUAACGGCGUAAACAUCAGUGGAAGAUCAGCAGAAAAAAAUGUCUCGAACACGUAAACAGAAAUCUCAUUAAUUUUCUUAAAUUUGACUUUUUCGAAAUUCAUAACGGUACACACGGAUAUUCAUUUCAGUGAUAAGACAAAAAUUCGUCUCACCCUAAUCAAUACGAAAUAACGAUCACGAAUCAAUAAAGAUAACGAGCUGCAGAGUAUACCUAUUGUUAGCGUCGAACUGUCUCAAGAGAUUCCAUACGAAAGAUGUAUCGAAAAAGA